CACAAUGGGAACUCCCCCAAGUUUUCUUUGGAGCUGAUGACAGUGUGGCAGGAAGAGAGGCUAUCACGCUGUCACAGGCUCUUUGGCCACACAGGGAGGAAGCCAGAGCGGACCCCUUGGGGAAA